rnacentral:tRNA from 1 species
ACUAAGGAAGCGAUUAUUUGCUAUCAGUUUCGACCUGAUUCUAGGUUUAAACCCCUUUGUU